CCAGACUCCUACGGGAGGCAGCAGUGGGGAAUAUUGGGCAAUGGGCGCAAGCCUGACCCAGCAACGCCGCGUGAAGGAAGAAGGCUUUCGGGUUGUAAACUUCUUUUCUCAGGGACGAAGAAAGUGACGGUACCUGAGGAAUAAGCCACGGCUAACUACGUGCCAGCAGCCGCGGUAAUACGUAGGUGGCAAGCGUUAUCCGGAUUUACUGGGUGUAAAGGGCGUGUAGGCGGGGAAGCAAGUCAGAUGCGAAAACCACGGGCUCAACCUGUGGCCUGCAUUUGAAACUGUUUUUCUUGAGUACUGGAGAGGCAGACGGAAUUCCUAGUGUAGCGGUGAAAUGCGUAGAUAUUAGGAGGAACACCAGUGGCGAAGGCGGCCUGCUGGGCUUUUACUGACGCUGAGGCUCGAAAGUGUGGGGAGCAAACAGGAUUAGAUACCCGAGUAC
rnacentral:rRNA from 1 species